GACGAACCGUGCGAACGUUAUUCGGAAUCACUGGGCUUAAAGGGCGCGUAGGCGGGCCCGCCAGUCCGUGGUGAAAUCCUCCGGCUUAACCGGAGAACUGCCGCGGAUACUGCGGGUCUCGAGGGGUGUAGGGGCAUGCGGAACUCAGGGUGGAGCGGUGAAAUGCGUAGAUAUCCUGAGGAACGCCGGUGGCGAAAGCGGCGUGCUGGACACCUUCUGACGCUGAGGCGCGAAAGCCAGGGGAGCAAACGGG
rnacentral:rRNA from 1 species